rnacentral:lncRNA from 1 species
UUAGGCUUCAUUUAUUUUUGUUAAAAAAAAAAGAAGAGAUAAGCUAGCAGAAUAUAACAAUUUAUUAAAAUAUGAGAGCAAGAAGUAAGAGAGACGAAUUUAGAAACUCAAGUUUUGAUUUGUGGUUGAUGCUAAAAGCUUUCAAGUACAUGGGUGUUUAUAGGUACUACUACUACUACUACUACUACUACUACUAAUGCUACUCCUACUAUUAAUGCUACUACUACUGUUAAUCCUUAUGCUACUUAUAUUGCUACUAUUACUUCUAUUGAUGCUACUACUACUACUGGUUUUACUACUGUUACUACUUCUAUUACCACUACUACUACUACUACUACUACUAAUAC